CGGCCCCGGCGCUGCGGCUUCCCCCGCAGGGGCCGCCCGCUCGGAAGGAUGCGCCGCGCCUCCAGGGCAUUGUGGAUUAUUGUGUAACAGGAAUGGUUCUCUCAGAACCAGGAAAUGGAUCUGGUUGAUUAUUCAAGACCUUCAUCAAAGCCUUGUAAAAGAGCUGCCUCAUUUUGUGACACCUCUCUGAGGGACAUACUGCUGAUUGUGUGCUCUUUUGAAGGAGACUGAAAUUGAUUCUUUGAACUCGAUCCUGAUAAUGUGGAGAUAUUUACCAGAGUUUUCCAGAUGAUCUCUUUGAUGAAUGGCCAGUUACCCCAGUACAAAAAUGAAGAUGUAGGGCUGGCAGUUUUGUGGUUCUUGGAUCAGAGUGUGAGAGCCCAGCUUCAGCACAGCUCAAAGGUGUAUGCUUGGAUGUCUGAAGUCUUGGGAAUAACAAGUGACAACCCUGUUCUGGAAGCAUUUAUGACAAAAACGUUCAAAAUGUUUUUCUUCCUCCCCCUCAGCAUGUAAAGGAGAAGUUCAUUUGGACCAGUCCAGCUGCAUCCAGGUAUUGAUCCCAAGCAUUACAGCACAGUGAGCUGCUGUGAUCACAACUCUCACUUACUCUAGUUAAAGCAAAAAGAUCCCAACAUCGAAGUGUUGAUGGAUCAUCUCCAAACAGAAUUCUCCUCUUCAGAGAAGCCAGUAAAGCGAUCUGUGCAUUAAAUUUGAAGUUCACUGAUCUUCUCAAUAACUAGACCAGGACUCAUCAAAGACAUUAAUUCUAAUUAAGAUGAUCUGUCUGGGAUGCAUUAAAUAGUUCACUGUGGGAAGCUAAAUGGAGUUCAAUUUUUUGUAAUCAGAUCCCCUCUCAUGGGACUUUGUCAAAAGAUCAGGUUCAUCUGCUGAAACUCAAAGGCAUUUCCAUCUGUUACUCUCCACUCAAAACUGCCUUAUGUGGAAAUUAUGUCAGCUUUGGUGUCUUCAAGUUGAACAGGGACGACCACUUUGACAAUGUACUUCAGGCCUGUGUCAAAAUGCUGCUUUCAGUAUUCCACAGUGACCUGCUAGCAAGCAAUUACUCAUCUUGGGAACUUUUAUGGGAACUUUUAUGUGAAAUAUGAAAUAACACCACCACUGGCUUUGUAUUGGUAUAAUGAGAGGGAUCUAGAACAGCUCAAAUACAGUUUUCAAUUCACUUGAAUUUAUUUAUGUAGUGACAUCUGAAAUACAGGUAUGACUGAAGUGCCAUGUGAAACAGGAGCUUUUUGAGAACUCUCACUGGGCUUGUAAAGGAGAGAAAUGCAAUCUUUUUUCCCUUUCUAUACUUGCAAACCCAUUUUGUUGCCUGCAUGCACUGUAAAACAUCCUCAUAUAUCCAGCUACUCUGCAAUUAGUUUCAAUCUGUAAAUUGUCACUGCACUGUGUAUUCCCCAUAAACUGGAAAACUUUAAAAUUAGAGUACACCAUGUCCUCACUUCUCCACAGGAAAACAGCAGAUCCUGCAUAAUAUCAGCCUGAAUUCAAACUGUGUCUUUUUCUUUGUGACACUUCUGUUCAGAGCUGUCCUUGUCUUUCAGGAUGGGACAAAUCUGAAGUGGUUAGAGAUGGUAACAUCCAGGUUUAUUUUUGUCACAUAAAGGAAGUCCAUGGAAGUGGAAAAUUGCUGUCAGUUAAGUCAGUGUAUUGUCUGUAUAGUCAAACAUGCCUAACAGGCACAUCCCCAGAUAUCCAACGCUGAACUCCCUAAACAAGAAUCCUUAAGAGGAAGAUGAUGGCUGGAUGAGGCUGGGGGGCUCAAGCAGGGACCUUUGCCACCACACAGCCUGUUAAACGAGCUCACUUAGGCACAAAGAAGAGUCUCUCUCUGAGGUGCUUUGGGUUGUGAUAAAUCUUGGUGAGGUUUCCUGCAGAAGGCAAGAUACGCCCGGAGUCCUGGACAGAACCAUCCUGCUCUUCCUGAACUGGGAGCUGUGGCAGAUGGCAGAGCACUGGAAUGGGUUUGGAAUAUCCUGAGCUUAAUAUUUUAAACUUACUAGCAUAUUAUAUCCAAUGGGAAAUUUGAAAAGUUGAGAUCUACUGAAGAUAAGAAAAUAUUUUGUCUCUCAAAAUAUUCUGAUCUAUUGGCUAGUUUAGAAUUUAUCAUGUCAUCAAAUCUGUAAGAUCAUUCUUCUGUCAUCUGUUAAUGUUGUUAAUAUUAGUCAAUGGUAGUAUCAGUAUUUUCUGUGAAUGUGUGCUCCUUUUUUUCAGUAAUAUCCAAAAUGAAGCCACUCUUUAAACUCAUUUUUGGAGUGUCUGACCCAGAAUCAUAUGAGUUUCAUUAUCAGUUUAGAAGUCACCUCUUAAUCUGCAUUCUGACCUCAGUAUCUGAAGGACUCACUGCAGUAGGUAGGAGUUGCUUUCAUUUGGCUAAAGAAAGAAUUUAAGUAUUUAGAUAGCUCAGGUUUUCAAAACAGCACAUUGAUGGGUAUCUUAAAAAAGAAAAAAAAAUAUAAGGGACAAAGGAAGAUGCUGAAUUUUGAUGUUUGGGAUUUGGAAGGUGCUUGGAUUUUGAAUAGCUAAAGAAUGUGACUGUUUUGGUUACUGGAGAAGUUCUUUUAAACCUGUAGAUUUUUACAGAGUGUUUUUAUACAAGCCUGAAUUGUUAAACUUAUUAAUGUGCCUCUCCUGGAAUCGUACUGAAAACUCAUGUAUUUAUUAUUCAGAAGAAAAAUAUUA